AUUUGAUCUUCAAUGUGUUAAUGUGAUUGUGAGUUUGCUUUUAUUAUACCGAACGAGAUUCUGAAGUUUCUUUGGAGAUUGAAAUGAAUCUACAGACAAAGGAUUUGCUUUCUGUAAGCUUAGAAGAUUAUUUCAAAAUGACCAAAUGGACCAAAUGGACCCAUUCAGGGCGGUUUUCAUCCAUUUAUUUCACCAAACAUAGAAGUUGAUUAUGUGAUGCUCACGUAAGAUUUCUUCGAUGGAUCAAUUCUGGGCCAUUCAUCGAGUUCUCCAACUUCUCGAUGCUGGUAACCUUGACUCGUAGGCGUCGCGACGCUAAGAGGUUUACCUUGGUAAACCCUGGUAUCUCGGGAUACCAGUCGGGGUCUCGGUCGAGGGAUUAGGACAGGGUUGUUGAGCGAGACGGCAGAGGGCUGCUGGUAUCAGCGGAAGAGGGACAGAGUAACGAAGAAGAAAAAGAAAAAGAGACCACUGUAACCGUACGCUCGUAUAAUUGAUUGAGUCUAAUGAGUUAAAGGGGAUACCACGGUAGUACGGGACGGUGAAAUUAAAGAGUUCUGGGUCAUGAAGGCGACCACCCCUGCGGGACAGAGAAAGUGCGGAAACUUAGGUGCGCGCUCCUCUUCGGCUUCCUCUGUUCUCCUUCGACCCUUGCGAGUCGGCCACGAGGGCGCUGAUUGUAAAUUAGUUAAAGGAGAUGCCUCAUUAGGAUCAGCUGAUUCUUUGGAUAUUAACUGGGAUUGAAUGAGACGGUUUGAGAAAAAGAUUCCUUAAAGGGGGCUCUUUUAUAGAGGGUUGAAAUGAAUUCUUCUUGAAAGGAAUUAUAACAAGCUGUCAUUUUUUCGAGAGCAGGUAUAAAAAGAAAUAUUUUCAUUUUAAUAUUUUUAUUGUUAAUGUGCUAAUAAUAUAUUGGAAUAACAAUA